GACGAACGCUGGCGGCGUGCUUAACACAUGCAAGUCGAACGGAGAUUCAGCAAUGGAUCUUAGUGGCGAACGGGUGAGUAACGCGUAGGCAAUCUGCCUUCUAGAUGGGGACAACAUCCCGAAAGGGGUGCUAAUACCGAAUGUUGUACCGUUUCCGCAUGGAGAUGAUACUAAAGGGGGCCUCUGUAUAUGCUACCGCUAGAAGAUGAGCCUGCGUUGGAUUAGCCAGUUGGAGGGGUAACGGCCCACCAAGGCUUCGAUCAGUAGCCGGUCUGAGAGGAUGAACGGCCACACUGGGACUGAGACACGGCCCAGACUCCUACGGGAGGCAGCAGUGGGGAAUCUUCCGCAAUGGACGAAAGUCUGACGGAGCAACGCCGCGUGAGUGAAGAAGGUUUUCGGAUCGUAAAGCUCUUUCGUUAGGGACGAACGUGCUCUUUGUGAAUAAUGAGGAGUAAUGACGGUACCUAAAUAAGAAGCCACGGCUAACUACGUGCCAGCCGCCGCAGUAA
rnacentral:rRNA from 1 species